UACGAAGGGGGGCUAGCGUUGUUCGGAAUUACUGGGCGUAAAGCGCGUGUAGGCGGGUCUUUAAGUCAGGGGUGAAAUGCCAAGGCUCAACCUUGGAACUGCCUUUGAUACUGGAGACCUUGAGUCCGGGAGAGGUGAGUGGAACUCCUAGUGUAGAGGUGGAAUUCGUAGAUAUUAGGAAGAACACCAGUGGCGAAGGCGGCUCACUGGUCCGGUACUGACGCUGAGGUGCGAAAGCGUGGGGGAGCAAACAGGGAU
rnacentral:rRNA from 1 species